rnacentral:lncRNA from 1 species
GCUAAAGCAGCAGGAGUUGGCAGAGCGACGGAUGCGGACGCGGUCAUCAACAGGGGCUGCAAGAGAAGGAGCUCAAGUUGGUUCACGGUUUGCCUUUGCAUCCUCUCUACCCUCUUCCCUCACUCACAUCUCCCCCUUUUCUCAUGGAUGAGGGCUCGGUUGCAGGUGUGCAGGAGGAGUUGAAGGCUGAGGUUGUUUGACGGCCGGACCAGCAAGAGCAAGGAGCCAACGGUGGUCAAUUUCUUGCAUCCCAUCCUGGACUCUAAAAGCUAUAGUUUGACUUUUUGCUUCAAUGAAUGGUAAAGCACCAUGUUGGUUACAUUAGAUUUGUUUGUCAGGCUUGUCUAAAGUCAAUAAUUUCUUGAUCCAUUUUCAAUUUAAGUAAACCAUCCAGAU